CAAAAAUACUACUACUUGGUGACGUUUACAAAGACUUAAUCAUGAAGAGAGAUGCUUUUAAGAGAGGAGAAGACAUCUGGAAGACCACUGCAGAGAAAGGGAAAAAACACCUGAAGCCAUAAAGAGUGCAAGUACAUCUCAAAGUGCAGCUGAUGCUGCAAUGGGAGACAAACUUAAAAGAGACCUCCAGAACCUGCAAAGACAGAAAGCACCUGUAACCUCUACUCCAAUGUCAGGUGACUCAGAUAACACUGACACUGACCUGUUUGAAAAUACAGAGCAGAGACAAUCAAGGAAAAGAAGUUUCCUGGGAUUGUAUCAUCUCUCAAAGAUGUCCUAGAGUCCAUGAAAAGAGGCCCAUACAGCUCAAGAUCAAGUCUCUUGCUGAAUCCUCAGAAAUGACACUGUGAUAAAAGAGUUCCCAAAGACGACAGUGUCUGAGGUGCGGGCCCUCAUUUGGAGGAAGUGCAACAACGAGUCAGCCUCAAAGAACAUUCACUCUCCACUGGAAGGAUGAAGAAGAUGUGAUGUUUGAGUUGUUACAGUUCUUGGUUAACUGUUUGGCUAUUGCUAGUUUGUUAAAAAUGCAUUUGUUUGUCUUCUGUGGCUCCAUAUGUGGUUCAAUUGUUUGAUGAAAUUGCUAGUUUCCUACAAAUGCUCUUUAGUGAUUUAUUUUUUAUUAUUCUUAUUUUGUGUUAAAUGGAGCUCUGCAGAUCACUUAUCUUU